rnacentral:rRNA from 1 species
UAGGGAAUCUUGCGCAAUGGGCGAAAGCCUGACGCAGCGACGCCGCGUGUGGGAUGAAUGCCUUCGGGUUGUAAACCACUUUCAGCAGGGACGAAGCGAAAGUGACGGUACCUGCAGAAGAAGCCCCGGCUAACUACGUGCCAGCAGCCGCGGUAAUACGUAGGGGGCAAGCGUUAUCCGGAUUUAUUCGGGCGUAAAGAGCUCGUAGGCGGCCGAUCGCGUCGGAUGUGAAAGCUCGGGGCUCAACCAGUGAGUUGCGUUGGGAACUGCGUAGCUAGAGUUCAGGAUAGGGAACUGGAAUUCCAGGUGUAGGGGUGAAAUCUGUAGAUAUCUGGAAGAACGCCAAAGACGAAGGUAAGUCCUGGCCAUGGACUGACGCUGAGGCGCGAAAAGCGUGGGGAGCGAAACGAGGAUUAGAUACCCUGGUAGUCCACGCUGUAAACGAUGUGCA